UUUUGCUGUGACCUCACUGGCACCAGUGUCGGACAAUCUCGAAAGGGGGGACCGUUCCUCACCCCAGGGCGCCCGGGGCGUGAUCCCCACGCGGCGUCAUUAGUCCAGGGAGCGGGCGCCUCGGCCCCGGGAAGGUGCACUUCCAGCCCGCUGCCCUGCCACGCCGAGUUUCCUCCUUUUUCCUGCCUUUGUUGCACAAAAAGCGACGGAGCCGCUAGUAGCUAUCAGAGAAACCGAGAAUGUAUGGAGCAGGGCGUGUCUAUCCACAACACCCUCAAGGCUGAAUACAGUUGGGGAGACCAGACGCUGCCAGACGUCACAUGCAUUUUUUUAAAGUUUCCCAGAAGUGCUUGGAUAUUUCUGCCCCUUAAUUCCCAUUCCUUGGGGAGUACAUUGAUGGGUUAAUAAAAAAUGCCUGCAGGUGGAGCUUGACCAAACACUUGUAGAUGCUGAACACUGGAAAAAUCCUGCAAGGAUUGAAGAAUGCUACUACUAAUAGCAGUGUUCUAGAUUUUCAUCCACCAUCAUGGAUAAAGCUCUCCGUCAUGUGGAUGGAAUCACUGCGGUAGGAGGAUUCCUGAGGCAUUACCUGGAUAGUCUCAUCUGGCUGGACAUGCAGGAGAACUGGGAGACUGCCGAGACUGCCACGUGGGGUGACUUGAGGGAUCUUUGACACUCUCUGUCUUAAUCUGUUUUGUGUUGCUAUAACAGAAUACACAGACUAAGUAAUUUAUAAAGAAAGGAAAUUUACUUCUCACAGUUUUGGAGGCUGAGAAGUCCAAGACUGAGGGGCUGGCAUCUGACGAGGGCCUUCUUGCUGCUUCAUUCCACGGCAAAAUGGCAAAGAGAAGGUGAGAGAGAGCAAGAGGGUGAACUCGCAGGGUCUGGCUUUUUUAUAAUGGCAUGGAUCCAUUCAUGAGGGUGGAGCUGUCGUGAUGCAACUCCUCCCAUUAGGCCCGACCUCCCACCACCAUUGCAUUGUGGGUUAAGUUUCCAACUCAUGAUUUCUGGGGGACACAUUCAAACCAUAGCACCCUGUGCAACCUACCCUGAACAACGCUAUUAUCCAUCUCUUCUUUUCCUGGUUUGAACUUCCCACUAUAAAUAAAAAUUCCAAAAUGCCUUACAUAAGCCUUGUCCUAUGAUGUGCACCACAUUUAGCAAACACUGUUCCGUUUGAGCCGCACAACAACCCUUCAAGGCAGGCGAAGUGAGACUGAUUAUCCUCAUUUUACAGAUGAGAAGAAAGGCUCAAAGGGACGGUGGGACUUGACUGAGGACCCAGCACCUCCUGGACCUGAAUCAAGGCCCUCUGUCCCGCUGCUUUUGUUGUUGUUUACCCUGCAACUUCACAGCCCUUCAGAAGGCCCUGGACAUCAUGUGCAAGCUCCGUGGAUGGCCUGAGAUUCAUCCUUCCAAGUUGUUUUCUGACUGAGAGGCAACAUUUUAAAUUGUGAUCCCCCCUUACCCCACCACACACACUGAAACAAAAGUUUCAAGAAGUCAUUACCACACAAUGACUCAGAUAUGUUCUAGUCUAGUCUGUCUAUUCCAUUCCAUUCCAGUCUCUUUCCAAACGAAAAUAAAAGGAAGGAAAUGCUGCAUGCGACUUGGUAAGUUAAUUUCAGGACACCUUGGGACUGCUUCCUGCUGCAUGAGGCAUCAGCACACAGCAGGGGAUAUUUUGCAUUCCUGUGUGCACCGUGGGUUAGACAGGCUGCUUGGCCCUAAGUGGAGAAUGGAACUCCAGUAGAAAGGCUGAGAUGCACUGCAAGUAACCACUGCAGAAAGGAGAGGAUGCCCACAGGCAGGCUGAAGUGGACCCGUGUGGAAGGAACACUUCAAGACCACUGGCCAAGAGACUUCCUUCAUUUUUAUCCCUUCCUGUUUUUCGCCUGUGCUGAGGAUUCACCACCAGUGUGGGGAGCCUCUGACUGUAAAAGGAAAGCUGACUCUGGCUCCUUCGUGUUUUCUGUUAAGUUGGGGCCUAAGUUUUUCUGCCAGCCUUUGCGGAGGAAAUGCAGCUUCCCUGGCACACUGCCCGGUCAAGGGACGUUGAAUCCAUUGCAAUCAGCAGUUGAAGAUCCACACUACAGGCCAUGUUCUUAAAAUAAGUGGCUCCAGGACUUCCAAGAGGCAGAAGGGGCUUCAGCUGGCCAUGGGCAGGAUCCAAGUGGAGCUUCAUCCCUGCAGAGCAAUGCCUGGCUCUCAGCGGAGGCAGUCUGGAGCAGGGCUUCUACCCUUUUCAGCUCAUAGAUUACUUUGGAAUCUGAUGAACACUGGGAGCCUUCUCCUUAGAAGAACAUACAUAUGCACGAGAAUGAGACAAUUACAUAACAUUCCUUGGGUUUCACAGAUGCUGAAGCCAAUGACUUGCUUGAAGCCUGGAAGAGGGUGUUGACCUGGAGAAUCCUAAAGGCCAAAAUUUAGAGAAAAUGGUGCCAGUAAAUGAAUUCACAAGGAGAAAUGCUUCCUUGCCAACUCACUUCUCCAGAUUAUUGAGUGCAUCUAUCUGUUUGCUUUUGGCUUCACGCAAUUGGCCCUCUUCAGUUCCGUACUCUUUCCUAAAUACCUUGCAAGUUUUCCUCUUCUCUCAUGCCAUUUAUAAUAUGCUGACGCCUGAUUAGAGGAAGGAAGGACUCAGCUGCACUUGCACUGGGGGAAGGGCCACUUACAGGAAGCCUACCUGGGGCUGAGCUGGGUCUCACUGCCUCCUAGACCUAAGGGCCCCAGCUUUUCCCUCAUCUCUUGUUGCAGCCACCACUUGUUCUAGAUCUGCAUCCAUAUCUGUAAAAUGGGGGUGAUAAUACCUUCCCAUAAAGUCACUGUGAGGAUUAAAUGUCCGGCACAAUAUUUGAUGCAUAGUGGUGCUGAAUAAUAUUUAUUGUCAUUACUAUCAUUAUUAUUGGCUGCUACCUUCAUUUUGAAAUUCUAUCCAUGAGCUACAUUAAUUAACCUGCAUUCAGUGUCAGGAUGUAUUUCUUAAUUUAGAUUUUUAAAUUUUUAGAGCAUGUGGCUAACCAUGAAUGUUGCAUUUUCUCAGUACCUAUUUAUUCAUAUGAAACUAUAGGUCUGGGCUCAGAGUUCAUCAAUAUUUAUAGAGAAGGCUCUACCUGUUGAGCACUGUGCUAGGCAUCCCCAGAGAUGCUGGCCUACUUCAUGCCUUAGGCAGCCCCACACGUGAGCAUUACUAACCCAUUGCUGCUAUGAGAGCAUUCAGAAAGAAAGCAGUUUAAGUUGCUUGACUAAACUGGUAGAGUUGAAAUUAAACUCUGUCUCUUCAUGUUACUGGACUGCUUGGAUAUCUACUUUCAGAAAGACUACAGCUUGAUAUAAACAUUGUAGUUUUGCUCAUGGAAAACUUACAGUAAAUCUGGGCUGUUUCAACACAACUGUCAAACUGUUCACCUACAGCUGUAUUUUCUCUUGCAAUGGGUGAAUAAGGUACAAUGAUGGUUGUACAGACCAUUACUAUUAUUACCUGUUAAUUUACAUUUAAACAGAUUUAUAAUUUCUGGCCCUGAUUUCCAGUCCAGUAUACAGCAAAAAUCCAUAUUUUAAACUAAAAAUAAUGUGCUUUUCAUAAAAUCAUAAAGAAACCCACCUGGCUAUUGUCUGGGGACUUGCGAGAAGGAUCCUUUGUAGUUUUCUUCCAUGUCUUCUAAGGAAUAGUUUGGAACACAUAGUAAAUAGUCAAUUAAUACCAAAGGGCAUUUGCAAAACUAUCAACUCCCAGUUUAUAUAAAGGACCAGCCACCAGAAUUAUACAUGAAUUAAAAAGUUAGCACACCAUAGUCAGAGAAGGACAACUUGGGAAUAGUUGUGUAACAGCCGUGAGGGUAAGCGAAGGGUCUGUCUACCUGUGCCUUCCCAGAAUACUGCCUCUCUUCUGGUCUGCUUUGGGAACAGUCAACAGGAAAGAAAAAGUAGACAGAUAGAGUCAGUGCGCUGAAUAAAAGAAGAUUCUAGAUCACUACAAGAGGCUUGUCAUUUGAGGCAAAGUGUCUGAGAGAGGAAGGUUUUUAUGGCCUCAAUGGGGAGACUGGUCACUGAUAAAGCGUUCUGGAUCUUUUGUGGGCCGGAAGAUAAGUUGAGUUUUGGUUAAUGUUUAAUGAUGCAGAACAAAAGUCAUAAAUAGUCCAUGAGAAAUAAGAGCACAAAUGAUUGGGAUUGGACAGUUUGCUUAUUCAGCUGCAAAAUGUGCUGUGUUCUAUUCUUGUCAUCCCCCCAUGGUAUAACAAAAUGCAGUGUGACAAGGAAUAUAAAUGUCCCCUAAUGCAUGGGCAGCUUUUUCUGUUCUAAGAGAGUCAGCAUGAGUCACUCAGCAGGUGAAAAAUGUUUAAUUUAGAGAAAAUAGGAUAAAUAGCAAUAGCUUCC
rnacentral:lncRNA from 10 species